CCUUCUUCCCUCCACAUACAGGAACUGCAGACACUGCAGAUAAAACAGAGCCAGAAUGCUUUGCUGCCAGCUGGACCUUUGACCCAAACCCCAGUGUGACUGUCUCCGGUGCUCACUCAACUGCAAUGCAUCAAUGAAGGAAAAAAGAACUGAGCAUCGGCAAAAAGCUGAGGAUGACAAGCUUAGGGGAUGAAAGGCUGCCUUUUCCCCCCCUUCUGAGCGUUUCUGACAGCUCCCAGCUGGGAGAAACCAACAUGAUGAAAAGACAAAGAAUACUGGAGAAGAGAGAGGGUGGGCAGAGCCACAACCUCAUCCUCCCAGUGGUUCCUCUUGAGUUUGAUUUGACAAGAUGCCUUCCCACCCAGGUAACCCCAUGGGAACGUGCCAGUACCUCACCCCACGACCUCACUGAGUCCUCACAAAAAAUCCAGGGUGCAGAUUUUUUUCCCCACUUGGAGAUGACAAAUUGAAAUGCAGGAAGGUUAAAGAGUUUGCCUGAGGUUGCUUAGAUAAUAAAAGAAUCUGGAUUAGAACCCAGACCUACCCAGCU